UACGUAGGGUCCGAGCGUUGUCCGGAAUUAUUGGGCGUAAAGAGCUCGUAGGCGGUUUGUCACGUCUGCUGUGAAAUCCCGAGGCUCAACCUCGGGCCUGCAGUGGGUACGGGGCAGACUGGAGUGCGGUAGGGGGAGAAUGGAAUUCCUGGUGUAGCGGUGGAAUGCGCAGAUAUCAGGAGGAACACCGAUGGCGAAGGCAGUUCUCUGGGCCGUAACUGACGCUGAGGAGCGAAAGCGUGGGGAGCGAACAGG
rnacentral:rRNA from 1 species